rnacentral:rRNA from 1 species
ACUAAUGUAAAAUUUAAAAUUCUUGUAUUAUUAAUAGUUAUAAACUUUAAAAUAAAUAAAUUUGGCGGUGACUUAAUCUUAUUAGAGGAAUCUGUUUAGUAAUCGACACAACACGAUAAAUCUUACUUAUUUUAAAGGUUUGUAUACCGUCAUGAAGAUAAUUUUUAAAAAAAGUUAUUAAAAUUAGAAACAAUUCUAGUAAAUUAGAUCAAGGUGCAGCGUAUAAAUAAGGUAAAAUGGGUUACAAUAAUUUUAAAUUAUUUGAAUAAUUUUAUGAAAAUUAAAAUUGGAAGGUGGAUUUAAUAGUAUAUUUGAUAUAAUAUAUUAGGUAGAAAUUAGCUCUAAGUCAUGU